CCUACGGGUGGCAGCAGUGAGGAAUAUUGGUCAAUGGACGCAAGUCUGAACCAGCCAUGCCGCGUGCAGGAAGACGGCUCUAUGAGUUGUAAACUUCUUUUGUACGAGGGUAAAUCCCGAUACGUGUAUCGGGUUGAAAGUAUCGUACGAAUAAGGAUCGGCUAACUCCGUGCCAGCAGCCGCGGUAAUACGGAGGAUUCAAGCGUUAUCCGGAUUUAUUGGGUUUAAGGGGUGCGUAGGUGGUUCGAUAAGUUAGAGGUGAAAUCCUGGGGCUCAACUCCGGCACUGCAUCUGAGACUGUCGGUAUAGAGUUUAGUAGAGGUAGGCGGAAUGUAUGGUGUAGCGGUGAAAUGCAUAGAGAUCAUAAAGAACACCGAUUGCGAAGGCAGUUUACUAAACUACGACUGACGUUGAGGCACGAAAGCGUGGGGAGCAAACAGGAUUAGAUACCCGUGUAGUC
rnacentral:rRNA from 1 species